CUUUUCUCGUUAGUUUUUGAAGUAUGGCCUGCCCGCUGACUUUGGUGUUGAAGGGCCGCGGUAUUUUGACCGUGCAAAGGUAGCAUAGUCAUUAGUUCUUUAAUUGUGAUCUGGUAUGAAUGGCUUGACGAGGCAUGGGCUGUCUUAAUUUUGAAUUGUUUAUUGAAUUUGGUCUUUGAGUUAAAAUUCUUAGAUGUUUUUAUGGGACGAGAAGACCCUAUAGAGUUUAACAUUUGUUAUGGUCCCCUUUCUGUUUGUGAGGGUUCGUUGGGCCGUUUAAUAUGUUUUGUUGGGGUGAUGGGAGGGAUUGAUUUAACCCCUCCUUUUUAUUAUUAUAUUUAUUUAUAUUUACUUGAUCC
rnacentral:rRNA from 1 species